rnacentral:piRNA from 1 species
UCGAACAUUCGCUGAUGAUAU